AUACGGAAGGCAGCAGUGGGGAAUAUUGGACAAUGGGCGCAAGCCUGAUCCAGCCAUGCCGCGUGGGUGAAGAAGGCCUUCGGGUUGUAAAGCCCUUUUGUUGGGGAAGUAAUCGUACGGGCGAAUACCCCGUGCGGAUGACGGUACCCAAAGAAUAAGCACCGGCUAACUUCGUGCCAGCAGCCGCGGUAAUACGAAGGGUGCAAGCGUUACUCGGAAUUACUGGGCGUAAAGCGUGCGUAGGCGGUUUGUUAAGUCCGUUGUGAAAGCCCUGGGCUCAACCUGGGAAUUGCAGUGGAUACUGGCAAGCUAGAGUACGGUAGAGGAUGGUGGAAUUCCCGGUGUAGCGGUGAAAUGCGUAGAGAUCGGGAGGAACACUCGUGGCGAAGGCGGCCAUCUGGACCAGUACUGACGCUGAGGCACGAAAGCGUGGGGAGCAAACAGGAUUAGAUACCCCUGUAGUCAC
rnacentral:rRNA from 1 species